ensembl:lncRNA
GGUUUACCCUGGUGCAGGUGUGCCGCAGCGGUCAGUUGAAGACUCCGCGAGUUUCUCUGUGAAUUUCCCAUUACAGUCGUAGCGCACUCGGCGCUUGCUUGGAAGUUUAGGGGGUUUUUUUCGCUGUAAAAAGAAGUUUUCUUCACUCACAACAGACGCUAAUGUUUUUGUCACUUUUUAUGGAAUCAAACUCAAAAUAAGGGCGGCCGUGUCUCUGGGGAGCGUAAUCACUGGAUGGUAAAUCUUUAGAGAGAAGCAACUGCAUUUCCUUGAGCCUGCUACUGCACCCUGGAUACUCUGGCUGCUGAACUGCCUCUGGAUACUCCUACAGACUUCCCCUCCUCAGUGCGUUCUGCACCCAGACCUGCAAACCCUUCCUCGUUCGUCGCUGCAACCCCCCGUAAUUCUGUCCCUGGAGCCCCCUUUCCAAUACCAGUUGCCAUCUUGUCCCCGCAACUAUACCUAGCCCAGGUCCCCUC